GUGAAGAACGUAGCAAAAUGCGAUAAGUAAUGUGAAUUGCAGAAUUCAGUGAAUCAUCGAAUCUUUGAACGCACAUUGCGCCCGCUGGUAUUCCGGCGGGCAUGCCUGUUCGAGCGUCAUUUCAACCCUCAAGCCCCCGGCUUGUGUUGGGGACCUGCGGCUGCCGCAGGCCCUGAAAAGCAGUGGCGGGCUCGCUGUCACACCGAGCGUAGUAGCAUACAUCUCGCUCUGGGCGUGCUGCGGGUUCCGGCCGUUAAACCACCUUCAUAACCCAAGGUUGACCUCGGAUCAGGUAGGAAGACCCGCUGAACUUAAGCAUAUCAAUAAGCGGAGGA
rnacentral:misc_RNA from 1 species